rnacentral:rRNA from 1 species
GAGCGGCGGACGGGUGAGUAAUGCUUGGGAAUAUGCCUUAUGGUGGGGGACCUCUGUUGGAAACGACUGCUAAUACCGCAUAAUGUCUACGGACCGGAGUGGGGGACCUUCAUGCCUCACGCCAAAAAAUUACCCCAGUGGGAUUGCUAGGUGGGGAGAUAUUUUUUUUU